GAAAUGCGAUAAGUAAUGUGAGUUGCAGAAUUCAGUGAAUCAUCGAAUCUUUGAACGCACAUUGCGCCCGCCAGUAUUCUGGCGGGCAUGCCUGUUCGAGCGUCAUUACAACCCUCAGGCCCCCGGGCCUGGCGUUGGGGAUCGGCGGAAGCCCCCUGCGGGCACAACGCCGUCCCCCAAAUACAGUGGCGGUCCCGCCGCAGCUUCCAUUGCGUAGUAGCUAACACCUCGCAACUGGAGAGCGGCGCGGCCACGCCGUAAAACACCCAACUUCUGAAUGUUGACCUCGGAUCAGGUAGGAAUACCCGCUGAACUUAAGC
rnacentral:misc_RNA from 1 species